UCCUUUUGUGUGUCCUCUUCCUGUCUAUUAGUUUCUGGAGGGCAGAGACAAGGACUUUCUUAGCUCAGUCCCUGGCACAUACUGUUUGUUCCUCAUCAGUGUGUCUGGUGUCAAAAGCUCUCCCAUAACACAAAGGAGUGGAUUUGGGGAGUUUACAAUUCUCUUUCUCACUGCUCCCAACCAGAAAAUUAGAAACCCAACUGGACACUGCUCUCUAUACAAGUCAACAACUCCCUCUUAGAAGCCUAAGGUUCACAAACACUAACAGAUGAAUAUUUAUUUGCAGGUGAUUAAAAACAAAAGAAUUUCUAUGAGAGUCUGUGGAAAAUAGCAGCCACUGGGAAUAGAACUCCAGGGGAGAGUGGGACACACAUAGUCUCUGAAGAUCUGAUUGGCAGGAUGCUGUUUCAGGGGAAGAGAACAAUCGUCAAUGGCAGGUUUUUGGCCGCCAUCCGCUUGGGACAGCCACUUCUCCUGGCACCACCCUGGCUGCCCGCUCCGCUCCGCCCUGCUUGUCUGUGCUCCAGCUCUGGCACCGGCCCAGCGGACUUUCUCUUGUUCACCUGGCCCACCUGAUUCAACCAAGAUUGUAAUCACCUGGUGACCUGCCUGCCCAACAAACCCAGAUCCUUGGCGGAGACAUCAGAGUCCAAUGGCAAGAAAUAAGUCAAGAUGACUAGUGACGAUCUGGAAUGCAAUAGUUGGAAAUUCAAGACUGGAGAUCAGGAGAAAGGUUGGAAGUGGACAAAUAGACCUGAGAAUCAUCUGGUUAGAGAUGAUCAUUGAAUCCAUGGCCUGCCCUUUCUUCAUAAAACCAUGUUGGCACCCUGUA